rnacentral:rRNA from 1 species
AUUAAACGCUGGCGGCAUGCCUUACACAUGCAAGUCGAACGGCAGCACGGGGGCAACCCUGGUGGCGAGUGGCGAACGGGUGAGUAAAGCAUCGGAACGUGCCCUGGAGUGGGGGGAUAACGUAGCGAAAGUUACGCUAAUACCGCAUAUUCUGUGAGCAGGAAAGCAGGGGACCGCAAGACCUUGCGCUCUGGGAGCGGCCGAUGUCGGAUUAGCUAGUUGGUGGGGUAAAGGCCUACCAAGGCGACGAUCCGUAGCGGGUCUGAGAGGAUGAUCCGCCACACUGGGACUGAGACACGGCCCAGACUCCUACGGGAGGCAGCAGUGGGGAAUUUUGGACAAUGGGCGAAAGCCUGAUCCAGCCAUGCCGCGUGAGUGAAGAAGGCCUCGG